AAUGGCGACUUUGAUUGAUGUUUAAGGGCAGGUCAGACGGAUUGCUGCUCUAUCAUUAUUCUUCUUCGUGGCUUCUCUCUGCACCAAUUAAGAAGGGGUGUCGCUCUAUCAGUAGAAACCCUAUGGUGGAAGCUCUUUAAACUUUGCAUUGGAGAAAGGAUCAAAAUUCAGAUAGAACUUUUAAAAUUGGGGAUGCUGCUAAGAAUUGGAUUCUCCUCUUUGCUAUAAAACUGAGUUUUUGAAUCGAAUUGCCUUUGGGAGAAGAUGAAGACUGUUUCCUGGUGCUGUUGAGUUAAAAUUCGACAAGGUGGGAGGAGAAGGAACAGAAGAAAGAUAACACACAUUUAGGACUGGAACCCUUGAUCAGGAUCCAAAGAACUGCAAAACUGGUUUGAUGCCCCAAGAGACUGGAUGUCCAUUUUUCAAGCAGAAUCUCUCCAUACCAAAUGGGAAGUCAUUUUCUGAGGCUGGGGCAGGAUGUUUCAAAAGCAUUUUGUGAUAUGAUAUGGGACCCUCCAUUCAAAGAGGGGGGGAAGUCAGAAAUCCCAUUGGGCAUAUCCAAGCCUUUGAACAUGCUUAAGGUCAUUCUUUACUUCUAGGUUUACAUCUGUAGGUGUGCACAGACAUGCCUUUAAACAGGAGUUUGUGUCACCCCUUCCCCUCUCUCCUCAUACAGUAGCUGAUUGGUGUGCUGGCUCCCUGACUGUUGCAAGGCUGGGCCAAUCAGCAGUAUGUGCAGUCCCUUCAGCUACCAACACUAAGAACAUAUUUCCCCAGAGCUUGGUUUGGGGGAGGUUGUAUAUGUGCUCAAACAGCAAGUGCCCUUCCACAGUGAAACUUGCCUCUUGUAAUUUUUGUUCACAGCCUUUGCUCCUUAUGACCACUAGAUGGCAUCUCUUCCAGGUUUGAUUAAAGGUUCAUCUUUCUUUGUAUGAAAUUAUACAGCACAUGAACACUAACUUCAGGAUUUACUUUUCCCUACCUGUAUCUUUAAAAUAUGAUAUUUGUAAUGUCUACACUGUUAGGCACAUAAAAUUUUGGGGCCUGGUUAGUGUUUCAUAAACGUCAGUUAUUCAAAAUUAAAUCUGUUAGUCUUUUAA